GACGAACGCUGGCGGCGUGCUUAACACAUGCAAGUCGAACGGAAAGGCCCUGCUUUUGUUGGGUGCUCGUGUGGCGAGCGGGUGAGUAACACGUGAGUAUCCCGCCCCUGACUGUGGGAUAACUUCAGGAAACUGGGGCUAAUACAGGAUAGGAGCUCCUGCUGCAUGGUGGGGGUUGGAAAGUUUCGGCGGUUGGGGAUGGACUCGCGGCUUAUCAGCUUGUUGGUGGGGUAGUGGCUUAGCAAGGCUUGGACGGGUAGCCGGCCUGAGAGGGUGACCGGCCACAGUGGCACAGAGGUGCGACCAGGACGCAAUCGGGAGGAAGGGGCGGAAGAUAUAGCACGCUGGGCCGAGGGCUGGAGGAAGAACGCCGCGUGCGGAAUGGCGGCCUUCGGGUUGGAAAACGCUUUCGCCUAUGACGAAGCGUGAGGAACGGUACUGAGUAAAGAGGCACCGGCUAACUACUU
rnacentral:rRNA from 1 species